ACGGGAGGCAGCAGUGGGGGAUAUUGCGCAAUGGGGGCAACCCUGACGCAGCAACGCCGCGUGAAGGAUGAAGGUUUUCGGAUUGUAAACUUCUUUUAUUAAGGACGAAAAAUGACGGUACUUAAUGAAUAAGCUCCGGCUAACUACGUGCCAGCAGCCGCGGUAAUACGUAGGGAGCAAGCGUUGUCCGGAUUUACUGGGUGUAAAGGGUGCGUAGGCGGCUUUGCAAGUCAGAUGUGAAAUCUAUGGGCUCAACCCAUAAACUGCAUUUGAAACUGUAGAGCUUGAGUGAAGUAGAGGCAGGCGGAAUUCCCCGUGUAGCGGUGAAAUGCGUAGAGAUGGGGAGGAACACCAGUGGCGAAGGCGGCCUGCUGGGCUUUAACUGACGCUGAGGCACGAAAGCGUGGGUAGCAAACAGGAUUAGAUACCCUGGUA
rnacentral:rRNA from 1 species